rnacentral:rRNA from 1 species
UUGACCUCAGAUCAGGUAGGACUACCCGCUGAACUUAAGCAUAUCAAUAAGCGGAGGAAAAGAAACUAACAAGGAUUCCCCUAGUAGCGGCGAGCGAAGCGGGAUGAGCUCAAAUUUGUAAUCUGGCAGCAAUGCCCGAGUUGUAAUCUAUAGAGUUGUUUUCGGUGCCGGACCGCGUCCAAGUCCCUUGGAACAGGGUAUCAAAGAGGGUGACAAUCCCGUACUUGACGCGACGACCGGUGCUGUGUGAUACAAUUUCUACGAGUCGAGUUGUUUGGGAAUGCAGCUCUAAACGGGUGGUAAAUUCCAUCUAAAGCUAAAUAUUGGCGAGAGACCGAUAGCGAACAAGUACCGUGAGGGAAAGAUGAAAAGCACUUUGGAAAGAGAGUUAAACAGUACGUGAAAUUGUUGAAAGGGAAACGAUUGAAGUCAGUCGUGUUCUUUGGUUUCAGCGGGUUCUGCCCGUGUAUUACCUUUGAACGGGUCAACAUCGGUUAUAUCUGGCGGAUAAAGGCAGGAGGAAGGUGGCACCCUCGGGUGUGUUAUAGCCUCUUGUUGCAUACGCUGGACGUGGCCGAGGACUGCGGUGUGCCCUCACGGGCAAUCCUCCGGGAUUCCACACCUAGGAUGUUGACAUAAUGGCUUUAAACGACCCGUCUUGAAACACGGACC